rnacentral:rRNA from 1 species
UACGUAGGGUGCGAGCGUUAAUCGGAAUUACUGGGCGUAAAGCGUGCGCAGGCGGUUCGUUGUGUCGGUGGUGAAAUCCCCGGGCUUAACCUGGGAACUGCAUUUGUGACUGGCAAGCUAGAGUAUGGCAGAGGGGGGUAGAAUUCCACGUGUAGCAGUGAAAUGCGUAGAGAGUGUGGAGGAAUACCGAUGGCGAAGGCAGCCCCCUGGGCCAAUACUGACGCUCAUGACGACGAAAGGCGUGGGGAGC